UUCUUUAUUUCAUCUCACUCUCCUCCUUACCCUCACCUAGGGUUGCACACUUCCCCAUGCAACCCUUAAAUUCCUAAAUCCACCAAUCACCUCCUACCUUUCAUAAAUCCCAAAAAAACAAACAGUUGGUGCAUCUCUGCUCUGCUCUCUCUAUCUCUCUCUCUCUCUCACCCAAUCACCUCCUUCUUCUUCUUCUUCUCCUUCCUCUCCCCUCUCAACCCCACCACCCAAAAACUCAAAAGAAAGUCCUCAAUUGAGUCCCCAAAACUUUGCUUGCUUCCUUCUUUUUAGCCUAAUGAGAAAAAAGCAAGGAAACUAGCCACAAGCAAACAAAACAUGGAGCAAAGUAGCAAAUAAGAAGCAACACCAACCCCUUUUUCCUCUGCUCCUCAAACCCUUGUUUUUCACUCCUCUCUCUUUUAUCUCUGAUCUGUUUGUUCCGGCAGGUCUGGUUUUCUCUGCUUCUGCUGGUGAAAAAGACCCACCCUUUUAAAUGGAGUACACAUCAAGGCCUCAGGAACAAACCCGAGAUCAUCAUCAUCCUCACCAUCAUCAUCAGAAGCCGCCUGCUUCAUAUUCUCCACUAAACUCCCCCACCAGCAAUGGCAGCAGCAACAACAACAACAACUCCGGAGUUCAAACUCCGACAACUCCAAAGCUGACUCCCAGAUCUGACUCCAACCCUUACGCCACCACCUUCGUCCAGGCCGACUCCUCCAACUUCAAGCACGUAGUCCAAAUGCUCACCGGCUCAUCGGAGACCACAACGAAGCAAACUAACAAGCACACACAGGAGUCAUCGUCGUCCCCACUGUCGUCCAAGAACUUCACCAUCCCUCCGGUGAAGACCGCGCCGAAGAAGCAGCAGGGCUUCAAGCUCUACGAGAGGAGGAGCCAGAACCUCAAGAACAGCCUGAUGAUCAAUACCCUGAUGCCCAAUUUUGCCCACCACCGGAGCCAAGCCUCUUCUGGGUUCUCGCCGCGUCACCCGGCCGAGAUCUUGUCGCCGAGUCUGCUCGACUUUCCGUCGCUGACGCUGAGCCCGGUGACCCCAUUGAACGACGACCAUUUUGACAAGUCGGCGUCGUCGCCGUUGGGGAACUCUUCGUCGGAGGAGGAUCGGGCUAUAGCCGAGAAGGGUUUUUACUUGCACCCGUCUCCGAGAACGAGCACCAGUACUCCCAGAGAGCCAGAGCCCCGGCUUUUGCCAUUGUUUCCGGUCACUUCGCCGAGAGUUUCAGGGUCGUCUUCUUGAUCCAAUCCAAGGAAAAAGAGAGAGAGAGAGAGAAGUGUAAACUAUGAGUGUUUGGGAUCAAUCAUAAGGAAAAGGGUAAUGGGGUUAUGGAUGGUUUUCAAUCACAGGUGCUCUAUAUAUCCCUCACUCUUCUAGGUAGAAUCUGCAGGGUUAUGAAAUUGGAAUAUGAAAUUUUCAUUUUACCAACUGGCAUUAGUUUAACAUCUUUAUGCUAGAACAAAAAUGCCAUAUUUUCCUCAACUUGGGUUUGUGUGGUGGGAGACGACUUUUCAGAAGAUGAGGGUGGUGGAGAAUCAGCAAUGGGAAACUUUUGCUUCAAGUUUUUACUGCUCAUAAACCAAAUUGCUUCAGAACAUAUUUAUAUGCAAUAUUCUCCUGUAUAUAUAUUUACUUGAUAUUUGAGAGUGAAAUUCAACUAGUUCUCAAGGGUCCCCUCAGUUUAGGACCACAUUUCGCAUUCAGCAUUCAGUAGUGCUAUAUAUAAGCAAGCAAGUAUGAAACUUUUACCUAAUCAUGAUGCACUACUUUGUGAGCUGUUGUUGCACUUGUUGAGCUAAUAUUGUACUGUCCUCCUAGAACUUGGUAACUAUAUAUCUCCACCUUAAGAGGAGGAUUUUUACCAUAAAAUCUGAUGGCCUUCGA